rnacentral:rRNA from 1 species
CCUACGGGAGGCAGCAGUGGGGGAUAUUGCGCAAUGGGGGAAACCCUGACGCAGCAACGCCGCGUGAAGGAAGACGGUUUUCGGAUUGUAAACUUCUUUGAUGAGUGACGAAACAAAUGACGGUAGCUCAAAAACAAGCCCCGGCUAACUACGUGCCAGCAGCCGCGGUAAUACGUAGGGGGCGAGCGUUAUCCGGAUUUACUGGGUGUAAAGGGCGAGUAGGCGGGAGUCCAAGUCAGAUGUGAAAUACCGAGGCUUAACCUCGGGGCUGCAUUUGAAACUGGAUUUCUUGAGUGAUGGAGAGGCAGGCGGAAUUCCCAGUGUAGCGGUGAAAUGCGUAGAUAUUGGGAAGAACACCAGUGGCGAAGGCGGCCUGCUGGACAUUAACUGACGCUGAGGAGCGAAAGCGUGGGGAGCAAACAGGCUUAGAUACCCCGGUAGUC